UACAGCGAAGAGAUAGCCCAGUCAGUAGAGCAUGAGACUCUUAAUCUCAGAGUCAUGGGUUUGAGUCCCAUUUGGGUAA